AACGCGGGGAAUCUUACUAGGUCCGGACCGAGUCUAUGAACGUCGUACCGUUGGGUGCUACGUGAUUACUGGAUGAGUGGUGCAUGGCCGUUCUUAGUUCGUGGUGUUAAUUGUCUACUUAAUUGUUUCGGCCAUGUAUCUCUCAGUACAGUCCUUACAACGAACGAGAUCGAGACCCGUGGUUGGGUUGUGUUUGAAUUCGGUAUUACUACGGGGAUCGCGUAAUUACUCAACGGUACGAUCGAAAGACUCGGCAAUAACAGGUCUGUGAUGCCCUCAGAUGUUCUAGGCUGCACACGUGCUACAUUGUGAGUUGUAGUAUAUUGUGUAUGCGUAGAUAUGUCUAAGAUCCCCCGCAUCGAGUCUCAAUUACUCACGUGGUUGGACUCACCGAUUGUUGUAAUUAUUC
rnacentral:rRNA from 1 species